AAGUCGUAACAAGGUUUCCGUAGGUGAACCUGCGGAAGGAUCAUUAAACAACUAAUAGUCUUUUUACAAAACUAUAUCAACCCUUUGUGAACCAAAAAACCUUUUCGCUUCGGUAGCAGGCUUGGUUGCGUGCGGUUUGAAAAAACCAAGCGCUCUCAAGCUGUCAGCCUGCCGGCAGCACCAAACAUAAACCUGUUUUAAAACUAUUGUCUGAACAGAAUCAUUUUCGAAUGAAAAUUAAAACUUUCAACAACGGAUCUCUUGGUUCUC
rnacentral:misc_RNA from 1 species